rnacentral:lncRNA from 1 species
UACCACAGAUUCAUCAACAUCCAUGUGGUGAAUAUCUUUCUUAAAGAGAAAGUUAUACCAUUAUGGUCAUGUCAAACUUAUAUGCAAGAUAUGUUUCUGGCAUUAUCGUUGUCCUUUAAUAGUCAUAUUUCCAAGAUACUUUGGCGUACAAUAGAUACGUGACCAACGAUCAUUCAUGACAUAUAUAUAGCCAACAUGCUUGACACCAUUAGAUAUUUCAACUAUAGGGCCAAAAACUUCACGUUUUGCCAGCGAAUUCAAUUCUGAUUGAAUUGC